CAGCAACCCCCGCAAAAGACUGCUCAGAUAAAAACGAUUUUUUCAAUAGCAAGAAACAGAUCAUGAAAGUGGCUAAGAACCCCUCCAUAAACCAACCAACCAACAAAACUCCCUUCUCAAUAACAGAAAGCAAUAGAGAGAGGGAAAUGCCUGCAAGACACAGAGAGGACAAAAGGAAGGCGAGGGACAGAAACAAAGACACACCAUUCUUCUAACCAGCUGUCCUUCUUCUGUCCUGUCCCCACCGCACCCUGUCUUCUUGAGGAACAGCUCAGAGGAAAGAAGAACAAAUGGUGCUGGAAACAGUGCAAGGAAAUUGGAAGGCCGCUGCUGUUCCUCUCUUGGCAGAGAGAAUAGGAAAAGAACUAGCUGCAG